rnacentral:rRNA from 1 species
GACGAACGCUGGCGGCGUGCCUAAUACAUGCAAGUAGAACGCUGAAGGAGGAGCUUGCUCUUCUGGAUGAGUUGCGAACGGGUGAGUAACGCGUAGGUAACCUGCCUGGUAGCGGGGGAUAACUAUUGGAAACGAUAGCUAAUACCGCAUAACAUUGACUAUUGCAUGAUAGUCAAUUGAAAGGUGCAAAUGCACCACUACCAGAUGGACCUGCGUUGUAUUAGCUAGUUGGUGGGGUAACGGCUCACCAAGGCGACGAUACAUAGCCGACCUGAGAGGGUGAUCGGCCACACUGGGACUGAGACACGGCCCAGACUCCUACGGGAGGCAGCAGUAGGGAAUCUUCGGCAAUGGACGGAAGUCUGACCGAGCAACGCCGCGUGAGUGAAGAAGGUUUUCGGAUCGUAAAGCUCUGUUGUAAGAGAAGAACGAGUGUGAGAGUGGAAAGUUCACACU